GACGAACGCUGGCGGCGUGCUUAACACAUGCAAGUCGAACGGAAAGGCCCCUUUGGGGGUACUCGAGUGGCGAACGGGUGAGUAACACGUGAGUAACCUGCCCUUGACUUCGGGAUAACUUCAGGAAACUGGGGCUAAUACCGGAUAGGAAUCCUUGCUGCAUGGUGGGGGUUGGUAAGCUUCGGCGGUUUUGGAUGGACUCGCGGCUUAUCAGCUUGUUGGUGGGGGAGUGGCUUACCAAGGCUUUGACGGGUAGCCGGCCUGAGAGGGCGACCGGCCACAUUGGGACUGAGAUACGGCCCAGACUCCUACGGGAGGCAGCAGUGGGGAAUAUUGCACAAGGGGCGGAAGCCGGAUGCAGCAACGCCGCGUGCGGGAUGACGGCCUUCGGGUUGUAAACCGCUUUCAGCAGGGGCGAAGCUUGUGGUGACGGUACCUGCAGAAGAAGCACCGGCUAACUACGUG
rnacentral:rRNA from 1 species